AUUAAGAUUUUCAGUAUCACUAAAACGAAAGAGGAUUAAAACGAAAGAGGAAGAAAAUUAAACCCUCCGCACAGAUAAAGUAGACUUACAUUUACCAACCUCGAAACAAAUUUGGACAAACGGAAUGUAAACACAAUGGCAGCGUCUUUCGCAUUACUGGUUGCGGCGAUUGAUUUUGGGACUACAUAUUCUGGUUGGGGAUUUUCGUUCAGACAUGAGUUUGAAAGUGAACCUACAAAGGUGUUUACGAAGAACUGGAUUGGUAGUCAGCUGUCCCAAAAAGGGCCAACGAGCAUUUUGAUAGAACCUGAUGGUCGGACACUUAAUAGUUUCGGAUUUGAAGCGGAAAAUAAAUACGCUGACUAGCGGCAAACCAGGAACACGAGGACUGGUAUUUCUUCGAACGGUUUAAAAUGAAGCUGUACGAAAACCAGAGACUUGGGAGAGGCAUGAUGUUGGAAGAUAUAAGUGGAAAGAAAAGUCUGCCAGCUAAAACAGUGUUCUCGCUGUCCAUAAAGUACAUGAAGGAUGAUGUUAUGAAGACUGUACAAGAUAAAACUUUGGUUGUGGCACCAAGGAAGACGAAAUACAUUGGGUCAUUACUGUACCAGCUAUCUGGAAUGAUGCCGCGAAGCAAUUCAUGAGGGAAGCUGCACAAGAGGCUGGUAUAUUAAAGCAUAAGUUGACUAUAGCUUUGGAACCGAAGCAGCUAGUUUAUACUGUCGCCAUCUACCGGUCGUAAAACUCAGCAAUGAUAAAACUACGUUGUCUACGUUUGCAGUCGGAAAACGAUACCUUUUUUUGGAUGC